rnacentral:rRNA from 1 species
AUGGACCCCGCCGCCGCCGCCGGGGCUCCGGCGGCCGCUGCGCAGCCACCGCCCCCUCCUCCUCCUCCUUACCUGCCCCCGCGGCUGGUCAUCGACGGCGCCGGAGGCGGCUCGGGCGCCGCCGUGAGGGCCUGCCGGCACCACGCCUACAGCCGCAAGCAGAAGUCCCUCGGCCUCCUCUGCUCCAACUUCGUGGCGCUGUACGACCGGGACGACGUGGAGACGGUGGGGCUGGACGACGCCGCCAGGCGGCUCGGCGUCGAGAGGCGCCGGAUCUACGACAUCGUCAACGUGCUCGAGAGCGUCGGGAUUCUCGUGAGGAGGGCCAAGAAUCGGUACACAUGGAUCGGAUUUGAGGGCGUCCCUGCCGCGCUCAAGGAGCUCAAGGAGAGGACACUGAGAGAGAUGUCUGGAUUAGCUCCGCCACCGGAGGAAUCAUCUGCUGCCAAUGUGUCGGACGAUGAAGACGACGAUGAUAAAUUGGGCGAUGCAGAUGGGGACGCCGACAGCGAGAAGCUUAGCCAGUCCCUCGACAAUGCUUCUGAUAAGCCUAACGUGCCCAUGUGCCCACCUAGAUCUGUAGACCAUAGGAAGGAGAAGUCGCUUGGGCUGCUCACGCAGAAUUUUGUCAAGCUCUUCCUCACCAUGGAGGUUGAGACAGUCUCACUUGACGAGGCUGCAAGGCUGCUCCUUGGAGAGAGACAUGCCGAGAGCAAUAUGAGAACUAAGGUUCGUCGACUGUAUGACAUUGCCAAUGUGCUAUCUUCUUUGAACCUCAUUGAGAAGACACAGCAGGUGGACUCCAGAAAACCUGCAUUCCGGUGGCUCGGUCAGGCAAAGCGAAAGGAAGGUGCCACUGUCACGGUUGCUUUACCACCAUCCAGGAAGAUUAUGUCUAGCAAGAGGGCAUUUGGUACCGACAUCACAAACAUUGACAAUAAGAGGGGCAAGUUAGUCUUGGAAACAGAGAACAAACCCAAACUCAUGCAGGGUGGCAGCAGCAUGUUGAAAACUUUCGAGAGUCAGCUCGGGCAAGGGAAGAGUAGUGGCUUUGUUUAUGGGCCCUUCCACCCUGCUGGUGCAAGGAAACAUGAAGUUGAUGAUCAGACAGUGAGGGAGAAUGAGAUGAAGAACAUUCAAGACUGGGAGAGUCUCGCUGUUUCAUUCCGUCCACAGUACCAAAAUCACGCGCUGAAUGAUCUUUUUGGCCAUUAUGUUGAAGCAUGGAAAUCAUGGUACUUGGAUCUUACACGGGAUUCGACCUCAUGA